rnacentral:rRNA from 1 species
UACAGAGGUCCCAAGCGUUGUUCGGAUUCACUGGGCGUAAAGGGUGCGUAGGUGGCGGGGUAAGUUCGGUGUGAAAGCUUCGAGCUCAACUCGGAAAUGGCAUUGAAUACUAUCCUGCUUGAGGGUCGGAGGGGAGACUGGAAUUCUCGGUGUAGCAGUGAAAUGCGUAGAUAUCGAGAGGAACACCAGUGGCGAAGGCGAGUCUCUGGACGACUCCUGACACUGAGGAACGAAAGCUAGGGGAGCAAACAGG